rnacentral:rRNA from 1 species
UACGGAGGAUGCAAGCGUUAUCCGGAAUGAUUGGGCGUAAAGCGUCCGCAGGUGGCAAUGUAAGUCUGCUGUCAAAGCGUCUGGCUCAACCAGAUAAAGGCAGUGGAAACUACAUAGCUAGAGUAAGGUAGGGGUAGAGGGAAUUCCCGGUGUAGUGGUGAAAUGCGUAGAUAUCGGGAGGAACACCAGUGGCGAAGGCGACUACCUGGCCUGUUCUUGACGCUGAGGCGCGAAAGCUAGGGGAGCAAACGGG